rnacentral:rRNA from 1 species
UACAUGGGGUGCAAACGUUGCUCGGAAUUAUUGGGCGUAAAGCGCGCGUAGGCGGCCAACUAAGUCGGAUGUGAAAUCCCCAGGCUUAACCUGGGAACUGCAUCCGAUACUGGAUGGCUUGAAUCCGGGAGAGGGAUGCAGAAUUCCAGGUGUAGCGGUGAAAUGCGUAGAUAUCUGGAGGAAUACCGGUGGCGAAGGCGGCAUCCUGGACCGGCAUUGACGCUGAUGAGCGAAAGCGUGGGUAGCAAACAGG